rnacentral:rRNA from 1 species
UACAGAGGGGCAAGCGUUGUUCGGAAUUACUGGGCGUAAAGGGCGCGUAGGCGGCCUUCUAAGUCGAACGUGAAAUCCCCGGGCUCAACCCGGGAACUGCGUCCGAUACUGGAGGGCUUGAAUCCGGGAGAGGGAUGUGGAAUUCCAGGUGUAGCGGUGAAAUGCGUAGAUAUCUGGAGGAACACCGGUGGCGAAGGCGGC